rnacentral:misc_RNA from 1 species
AACGCACCUUGCACCCUUUGGUAUUCCGAAGGGUAUGCCCGUUUGAGUGUCAUUGUAAUCUCACACCCAAGACUUCUUGUUGAGGGAGGUGGACUUGGACGUCUGCCGCGUAACUGCGGCUCGUCUUAAAAGUGUUAGCGCGGCUUUGAUUGAGCGUUGAUACCCAGUGUAAUAAGUAUUUCGCUGGGUUAGCAAAGUCUACAAGUCCUGUGCUUACAACCGUCUUCUUACGAGGACUGACCAGCAAUGGUUAUUUGACAACUUGGCCUCAAAUCGGGUAGGACUACCCGCUGAACUUAA